UACAUCCAGAAGCUGAAGAAAUCUUACCUAGACACUUGGUCAAAGCGCCAUCUAAGCAGCAUCAAUACGGAGCUCCAGGAUGUUCAGAAGAUCAUGGUGACCAACAUUGAAGAAGUCCUCCAAAGAGGGGAGACCUUAUCAGUUCUGGACUCCAAAGCCAGCAACCUGUCCACCCUCUCCAAGAAAUACCGCCAUGAUGCCAAGCUCCUCAACAGCCGCUCCGCUUACGCCAAAGCUGCCGCCACCGGCCUCAUCUUCAUGGUCCUCCUGCUCUACGUCCGCUUCUGGUGGCUAGUGUGACCCAGUCUCCCCCUCUUGUUUCCAAGGCCCCGUGUGACUUGGGCUUUUCCUUUGAGGAGAAACAUGGAAAUACCCCCAAAGUUCACCACUCGGGACGAUGUUCUUGUUUUUGGCAUCACCUCCAUUCACGUGGUUGGCCGUUGAAUGGCAGUGCAAGAUGCCAAGUGGACCUAUGACUAUUUAUAAUGGGGGGGGGGGAGGCUGUCCGGCCUGCCUUUCGAAAACAAGGAGAAAUUUGUGGCUUUCCAUAGAUCAGCUUUUCUUUCAAAGCCCUACAGUGUUGUCAACGGCUAGCAGGUUGAUAGUGUCAUAGGCCCCUGCCGCAAUAAAUCUGUAGUUUUGUAUGUUUUUUUAAAUCAUA